AUGCUUGCUUCAGCAGCACAUAUACUAAAAUUGUAAUGACACAGAGAAGAUUAGCAUAACUCUUAUGCAAGGAUGACAUCCAAAUUCUUGAAGCAUUCUAUAUAAAA
ensembl:snRNA U6 U6 spliceosomal RNA